rnacentral:rRNA from 1 species
UACGAAGGGGGCUAGCGUUGUUCGGAAUUACUGGGCGUAAAGCGCACGUAGGCGGAUACUUAAGUCAGGGGUGAAAUCCCGGGGCUCAACCCCGGAACUGCCUUUGAUACUGGGUAUCUCGAGUCCGGAAGAGGUGAGUGGAAUUCCGAGUGUAGAGGUGAAAUUCGUAGAUAUUCGCAAGAACACCAGUGGCGAAGGCGGCUCACUGGCCCGAUACUGACGCUGAGGCACGAAAGCGUGGGGAGCAAACAGGG